rnacentral:rRNA from 1 species
UACGAGGGGGGCAAAUGUUGUUCGGAAUCACUGGGCGUAAAGGGAGCGUAGGCGGGUUUCUAAGUCAGGUGUUUAAUCCCGGGGCCCAACCCCGGACAGGCACUUGAAACUGGGAAUCUUGAAUAGUGGAGAGGUCAGUGGAAUUGGAGGUGUAGCGGUGGAAUGCGUAGAGAUCUCCAAGAACACCGGUGGCGAAAGCGGCUCACUGGACCGUGUCUGACGCUGAUGAGCGAAAGCGUGGGGAGCAAACAGG